AGAGUUUGAUCAUGGCUCAGGAUGAACGCUGGCGGCGUGCCUAACACAUGCAAGUCGAGCGAUUCUCUUCGGAGAAGAGCGGCGGACGGGUGAGUAAUACAUAAGUAACCUGGCCUUUACAGGGGGAUAACUAUUGGAAACGAUAGCUAAGACCGCAUAGGUGUCAUAACCGCAUGGAGAUGAUAUGAAAUAUGCUACGGCAUAGGUAGAGGAUGGACUUAUGGCGCAUUAGCUAGUUGGAGGGGUAACGGCCCACCAAGGCGACGAUGCGUAGCCGACCUGAGAGGGUGACCGGCCACACUGGGACUGAGACACGGCCCAGACUCCUACGGGAGGCAGCAGUAGGGAAUUUUCGGCAAUGGGGGAAACCCUGACCGAGCAACGCCGCGUGAAGGAAGAAGUAAUUCGUUAUGUAAACUUCUGUCAUAGAGGAAGAACGGUGCGUGUAGGGAAUGACAUGCAAGUGACGGUACUCUAUAAGAAAGCCACGGCUAACUACGUGCCAGCAGCCGCGGUAAUACGUAGGUGGCGAGCGUUAUCCGGAAUUAUUGGGCGUAAGAGGGAGCAGGCGGCACUAAGGGUCUGUGGUGAAAGAUCGAAGCUUAACUUCGGUAAGCCAUGGAAACCGUAGAGCUAGAGUGUGUGAGAGGAUCGUGGAAUUCCAUGUGUAGCGGUGAAAUGCGUAGAUAUAUGGAGGAACACCAGUGGCGAAGGCGACGAUCUGGCGCAUAACUGACGCUCAGUCCCGAAAGCGUGGGGAGCAAAUAGGAUUAGAUACCCUGGUAGU
rnacentral:rRNA from 1 species